CAGCCGCCGCGGGAAUACGUAGGGUGCAAGCGUUAAUCGGAAUUACUGGGCGUAAAGCGUGCGCAGGCGGUUAUAUAAGACAGAUGUGAAAUCCCCGGGCUUAACCUGGGAACUGCAUUUGAAACUGUCAGGCUGGAGUCUUGUAGAGGGGGGUAGAAUUCCAGGUGUAGCGGUGAAAUGCGUAGAGAUCGGAAGGAACAUCUGUGGCGAAGGCGACUAUCUGGGCCAACACUGACACUGAGGCACGAAAGCGUGGGGAGCAAACAGGAUUAGAUACCCCGGUAGUCCCUGUCUCUUAUAC
rnacentral:rRNA from 1 species